rnacentral:rRNA from 1 species
UAACUUGAGAGUUUGAUCCUGGCUCAGAACGAACGCUGGCGGCACGCUUAACACAUGCAAGUCGAACGAAUUAUAGAGCUUGCUCUAUGAUGAGUGGCGCACGGGUGAGUAACACGUGGAUACCUGCCUAUUGGUGGUGAACAACUCCGGGAAACUGGAGCUAAUACAGCAUAAGCUCGAGAGAGGAAAGAUCGAAAGGUCGCCAAUAGAGGGGUCUGCGUCUGAUUAGGUAGUUGGUGAGGUAACGGCUCACCAAGCCGAUGAUCAGUAGCUGGUCUGAGAGGAUGGUCAGCCACACUGGAACUGAGAUACGGUCCAGACUCCUACGGGAGGCAGCAGU